rnacentral:misc_RNA from 1 species
AAAAAAAAGUUUAAAAAAAAAAAUUUAGUCAUUUUAGAGUUCUUAUAACUAAAACAGAUCAAAUUUAACUCUAAUUUAAUUUUUAAUACCCUUUAACUAGCAUAUUUAAGGAAAUAUUUUUUUCAACAACAGCUUUAAUAACAAUGCUAAAACACAUAUAUAAUUGUGCAUGUAACUUCACCAAGCACAUCACUCAUCACAUCUCUCAGAACACAAGUCAACUACUAAACACAUGGAAUUUGCAACAUAUAAAGCCUAGAACUAUACAUCCCCUCAAGGACAACAAUAGUUUUGUACGAGGGUCCAUUUGGAUAGGUGUGCAAUUGAAAUAAAGUUGAAUUUGAAUUCAUGUUAAAAAUCAUAAACACAUACUUUAAUGUCGAAUUCAAAUGCUCCUUAUUUUCAAAUUCGUAUCUAUCCAAAUGGAGCCUAAGAUUAUUUCAAGUGGAAACAUUGCUAAUAAAAUUUCUCAACCUGAAAUAUGAAGAAUAAGAGUUUUAACAAUGUCAAUGCCGCCCUUCAACCCCCAAGGGGCUAACCUUUAGCAA